UCUUAUGGAUGAACAAAGAAAGUGGUUUAUUGGGAUGGAAUCGACUCCUCAUGAGGAUGCUGUGAA
rnacentral:pre_miRNA from 1 species